rnacentral:rRNA from 1 species
UACGAAGGGUGCAAACGUUGCUCUGAAUUAUUGGGCGUAAAGCGCACGUAGGCGGCUCUGUAAGUCGGAUGUGAAAUCCCUCGGCUUAACCAAGGAAGUGCAUCCGAAACUGCAAGGCUUGAGUACUUAAGAGGAUCGCGGAAUUCCCGGUGUAGAGGUGAAAUUCGUAGAUAUCGGGAGGAACACCAGUGGCGAAGGCGGCGAUCUGGGAAGAUACUGACGCUGAGGUGCGAAAGCGUGGGGAGCAAACAGG